rnacentral:rRNA from 1 species
GGGGAGGGAGGAAAAGAAACUAACAAGGAUUCCCCUAGUAACGGCGAGUGAAGCGGGAUGAGCUCAAGCUUAAAAUCUCUGUGUCAGUUUGGCAUGGCGAAUUGUAGUCUAUGGAGGCGCUGUCAGUGCGACUAUUCGGGGUAAGUUCCUUGGAAGAGGACAGCAUCGAGGGUGAUACUCCCGUAUGUACCUGUGUAGUUGCGCGUACGACACGUUUUCUUUGAGUCGCGUUGUUUGGGAAUGCAGCGCAAAGUAGGUGGUAAAUUCCAUCUAAAGCUAAAUAUUGGUGCGAGACCGAUAGCGAACAAGUACCGUGAGGGAAAGAUGAAAAGAACUUUGAAAAGAGAGUUAAAGAGUACCUGAAACUGCUGAAAGGGAACCGAAUCGUUUCCAGUGUCUAUAAUCUAUGGCAUAUUUCAUUGGCGCGUGGAUGUGUGUAGCGUUUUGGAAGUAGGUUUCUGCUCCUGGCGUUGCUUUGCGUUCGCUUGCUGGUGCCCUGUGCUGUAGUGGGACGUCAGAGUCAGUUCGUAUGUUGCGGGAAAUGGUUAUUGGGGAGGUAGGUCGCUUCGGUGGCUGUUAUAUCCUGGUAACUAGUCGUCGUGGCUGGGACUGAGGUGCCUACAAUGUGCUUUCGAGUCUGCGGGCCUCUCGUUUGGCUGUUUGCUUUGAUAGCUUGCUAUGUUAGUGAACGUGUCAGGCGAUUGAGACCUGUAGUAACUUGUUGCCGUUCGGGACUGACGAAC